UACGGAAGGCAGCAGUGGGGAAUAUUGCACAAUGGGCGCAAGCCUGAUGCAGCCAUGCCGCGUGUAUGAAAAAGGCCUUCGGGUUGUAAAGUACUUUCAGUCGUGAGGAAGGUGUUAAGGUUAAUAACCUUAGCAAUUGACGUUAGCGACAGAAGAAGCACCGGCUAACUCCGUGCCAGCAGCCGCGGUAAUACGGAGGGUGCGAGCGUUAAUCGGAAUUACUGGGCGUAAAGGGCACGCAGGCGGUUAAUUAAGUUGGAUGUGAAAUCCCCGGGCUUAACCUGGGAAUGGCAUUCAAGACUGGUUAGCUAGAGUCUUGUAGAGGGGGUAGAAUUCCGAUGUGUAGCGGUGAAAUGCGUAGAGAUGUGGAGGAAUACCGGUGGCGAAGGCGGCCCCUGGGACAAAGACUGACGCUCAUGUGCGAAAGCGUGGGGAGCAAACAGGGAUUAGAUACC
rnacentral:rRNA from 1 species